UGCCCAGCAACUCCUAUCCCUACCUCCCCGCGGUACUGGCCGGGGUACGAGUAACCUAGGGGCGAG
rnacentral:ribozyme from 1 species